rnacentral:lncRNA from 1 species
GGGGAAGAGGGGAAGAUAAUUCAUAUGGAGCAUCACACCAGCUAUCUCCUGCUCCCUGUCCUGCACUGCAAAGGAGGCCUUUUCAUCCUCUCUACUGCCUCCAAUUUUUCUCACGAGGAAUGUGAGAGGAAAACCUAGAGCUUGUUCCUGAAGCAUGGUGCUAAGUCCAUAUGCAGCAGAUGGAGCUCAUGAGAAAAGAGUUGCUCUUGUGAAGACCAAAGCUUGGUGAGGUGUCAGAUCCCCGGCGAUGGAAAGCAGUCAACUCAUGGGUAGUAAAAAGAAUGUAUUGACAACACUAUAGGUUUGAAAAGGAAAGUUUUAUUAGAUGGAAAGAACAGUGCAGAAGACCGCAGCAGAGGACCUCAGCAAGAGAGAACUAAGUAUAUCAUGGUGGAUUUUUCCUAAGGGGAGGAGAUUGCAGAUGGAGGUGUUGUAUGUGACUGUUUUACAUGGAUUCUUCGCUCUGGUAGCAGAUGUUGAAGAAGCUCUAUGAAUGUCCUGUCUCUAUGUCCCAGUUUGUCAGUUUCAAAUACUCAUGUAUCUGAUUGUCAAUGCUGGAGAGCUGGGGCCAGGGCAGUAGUUGAUGAAUAUCACCUGACUGUCUCCUGCAGAAAAAGCAUUCCCAGAAGCACGGAGAAGUGAGGAGAAAAGGCAAUGCACCUGGAGCUGGAGACCAAGGCCCUGUUCUUACUGAUGGCCCUUGGAGCAGAUAUUUGAAUUGGAGAGAUAAAACCGUGGUUUUUGGGGUGUUAAUUUUGGUGGCUGAUGCAUUCUGUGAUUGAUUUGGCUAUUACAACUGGUAUUGAUUUUAAACACAUUAAUUGCAAAAUCUCAAUUGUGAUUUGAUUUCUGUAUUUACAAUACUAAAAACGAGGCUUUCGCCAGGAGAAGACAAUUGGCAGUACUCAGUUGGAAGUGCUUAAUUGUUAAUAUAUAUCAGCCGUGGUUCUUCAGCGUCGUCAGUGUUGCUCAGUCUUGCUCUUUGUGGCGACUACUGAAUGCUUGAAAAAUUCUCUCCUAUACUCCCACUCUGCACUGUAGAAGAGAAAGAGAGGAGAGUGGAAGAAAAAAGAGAGGGAGAGGAGAAAGAAAGAGAGGAGAGAGAAACAUGGGCAUGGAUGAUACAUAAGAUAAUUCCAGAAGAUUUCAGCAUAGCAGAUAAAAUACAGCAAAUCCUAACCAGCACAGGUUUGAGUGACAAACGGGCCGGUUCCAUGGACACAGGUGACUUCAUCAG